ACAAUGGUACUUCCCUACGGGGCUGGCGGAGAACCCGGCAGAGGUGAAACUCCUAUGA
rnacentral:ncRNA from 3 species